UUAGGAAUAUUGGACAAUGGGCGAAAGCCUGAUCCAGCCAUGCCGCGUGAACGAUGAAGGCCCUAGGGUUGUAAAGUUCUUUCGUGGGCGAAGAUAAUGACGGUAACCCAAGAAGAAGCUCCGGCUAACUCCGUGCCAGCAGCCGCGGUAAUACGGAGGGAGCGAGCGUUGUUCGGAAUCACUGGGCGUAAAGGGUGCGUAGGCGGAUUAACAAGUCAGGAGUGAAAUCCCCAGGCUUAACCUGGGAACUGCUUUUGAUACUGUUAUUCUAGAGUUUGGUAGAGGUUGGCGGAAUUCCUAGUGUAGAGGUAAAAUUCGUAGAUAUUAGGAGGAACACCAGUGGCGUAGGCGGCCAACUGGACCAACACUGACGCUGAGGCACGAAAGCGUGGGGAGCAAA
rnacentral:rRNA from 1 species